GUUGCUCUUACGGUAAGCAACCCUCACUUCCAACCGAGAGGUUGUGAGUUCGAGUCUCCCCAAGAGUAAGGUGGGAAGUUCUUGAAGGGAAGGAUGCCGGGGGUCUUGGAAACAGCCUCUCUACUCAAGGGUAGGUAUAAGGUCUGCGUACACACUACCCUCCCCAGACCCCACUAAGUCGGAUUAUACCGGGUUGUUGUUGCUGUUAUAUAUUCGAAAAAAGUUUUAGAUUAAUAAGAAAUUUCAUAUGUGUAUAUGUUAUGGGCUGGUGUUGAACUAAAACACAGGUUUACUGCAUAAAGUGUUUGCCAGUAUAAGCCGAAAGUUGCUUCUCAACUAUAAUGGCCUUCACAUUAUGACAUUCUGGAAUUGUAGUACAUUAAAGACACCAAUUAAGGUGUAAAUCUGGUGUUAUCUGGAGAAAGAUUUUCAGCAUGUUAGACAUUUAUGGAGUCAGCAUUAUACAAGGUAUAGUGAGGUAAGUUGUGAAUUGUGAUUGCCAUUAGGAAAUUGAAGAGGUAAACAUAUACAAAUAACCAUUUUCAAUUCACAACACUUUGGUUCAUGUCAAUACAACAUUUGAAAGCUACAGUGUCUGUAAUGUGAAGUUCUUUUUUCCGUGCAAGCAUGGAUUUGGGAACAUGUGUCUGGCCGUAAGAACCAGCCGUUGCUAAUUGUAAUUAGCAUGAUGAAUCUUGACCAAGAAUGCUUUUGCUGUAAAAUUUUGAAUAAGAUUUUCUAUUUCUUUUUUCUUUUUUCUUCCCCAUUUUUUUCCUUGGAUAGAUGUUCAGCAGCUCUCUGUUCUUUUAUAUGUCUUUUUUGUUAUCAAUUCCGUUAUAUGAUAUUUUUGUUAUUUUUACCCUAAUGUGCAACAAAAAACACUGCUGCAUGAGUUUUCAUCUAACGGCCUUAGUAGACCCUUCUGAAUUGAAACAUUACUAUAUUUGCUCGAAAAUACUAUUUUUUUACCCUUGACUGCAUAAAAUAUGUUGUAUAUUAUGUAUUGUGUGUCCUAUCUGUCUCAAGUUGCAGCUAUAAAUGCAUCCUUAUAAUAUUUGUGUCUUACUUAAAUCAACCUAUUUAAUUGCCAUUAUUAUUCUAUACUUUAAAAGCAAAAGCUACCAAGAACGUAGAGGAGAUUGGAUUCAUAGGUUGUCAACUUCACAGAUAAUAUUUAGCAAGUAUUAAGUUUUAGGAUCGCGCUUUGCCCGGGCAAAGUUAGUAGUUCAUUAUAAGGUAGAAAAUUACAUCUGUUUCUGAUGAUUCAGAACUCCCAAUCGAGAGGAGAACUUUCUCUAGCCAAUUUUAAGUUUAUCUAUAAAAGGAAUAGUGCAAUAAAUAAAGAAAGAAAGAAAAAGGUUUGAAAGGAAAAGAAGUUUGAUACAAUUAUUUCUUGAUUAUUAUAUACCAAAGGCAUUAACAUAAUGGACUUCCAACAACCCUCUUUUUCCAAAGACGCUCCAAUUGAUCAAAGGAAUUAAUAGGACCACUUGUUAUCUUUAAACCAUGAGGAAAAAAAAGGCAAGAAAUCCAAAGGAAAUGCAGGAAAUGAUUAUGAGUUUAGCACUAAAUUUUGCUUUGGAUUCAGGGAAUCUUGGACGUCAUUAAUGCACCAGGAGAAGGGCCUAGUACUUAGGCAUAACUUCAGGGAAUGAAACAAGGUGGCACACGUAUUAACAAAAGAGGCAAAGAAUCAGGAUAUCAACCAGUCUAUGCAUAAAAAAGCAAGAAUAUUAGUAUGGGUGCUUAUUUUUGUGGAAAAACUACUUAGCCAUAACAUGAACGGAGAACAUAUUUUGUCAAAAAAACUAUCGAAGACAGUUUGUAAUAUGUUAUUUUGCCUAGGGAACCAAAAUAUUAAAAUGGAAGGGAUGUCACCAUCCUCACCAAAUUAUCACUUCACCAUAGAUGAAGCAAGCUGUAAUAUGCAUGACAAUGCUUA
rnacentral:lncRNA from 1 species